rnacentral:rRNA from 1 species
AUGGGCACCACUGCCAGCCGCUCAUCGCCGGCGGUCAAGAAUACGCGCAUCGUCACCGUCCCUGUCGCCAAGUACCUCGAGAUGACGACGGUUGAUACGAUCGACUUUUGCGGCAACCUGUGGCACGUCAACGUGCACCCUAUGGGCCACCUAGUGUGCGUCAUGGUCACCUGCGUCGACAAGCAAGACCCAUACUCGGCCUCGGCCACCGACGUCUCCAUUGAAAUCUUGGACGAGACUGGCCAGCACACCAUGUUCCACAGCGAGUACGGACACAUGCUGGUCAACAUGAGGGAGAUGGAGGCGUCCUCUUGCGUCGACGGCGAUGGCGCCUUGACCGUCCGGUGGACGCUGUCCGUGAACCAGCAGUCAAUCGAGUGGCCACUUGGAAACUUGUCCGCUUCCAAGGUCGAGCCCGUAGACUUGGAGCCCGCCAUGGUCGGGAACUGCACUUUCACGACCAACAGCUUCUCCAAGCUCAAGGCGACGCUGCGGAGCUUCGAGUGCGCCUACUCCAAACCCUUCAGCGUGGGCGGUAUCGUAUGGUUCCUCAAGAUCUACCCCAAUGGGUACCGGCCCGAUGAGGAACGCAUGUCCAUGUUGCUAGUCCAUGAAGAUGAAGACCACGAGGAACGCGUGUCCGUGUUGCUAGUCCGUGAUGAUGACGACCAACCGCAACGGGCAACGACGGCCCAGUUCAACUUUGAGUUUGACGGGGUCGCCAAUUAUGAGUCUAUUAAGAUGACACACACGUUCAACGAUGCCAACUACGAAGUCGAAUAUAAGCUGCCGCCGGUCAACACUGCUGCCGAACACGACCCCCUCAUCAUCCGAUGUCGUCUCACCGUUAUAGGGAUUGAGACGCCAAGCUUGCUCUCUUCCAUGCUUUAG